rnacentral:rRNA from 1 species
GUGGAAUCUUGCGCAAUGGUCGAAAGCCUGACGCAGCCAUGCCGCGUGAAUGAUGAAGGUCUUAUGAUUGUAAAAUUCUUUCAGUAGGGACGAUAAUGAAGGUACCUACAGAAGAAGCCCCGGCUAACUUCGUGACAGCCGCCGCGGUAAUACGAAGGGGGCUAGCGUUGCUCGGAAUUACUGGGCGUAAAGGGAGCGUAGGCGGACAUUUAAGUCAGGGGUGAAAUCCCGGGGCUCAACCUCGGAAUUGCCUUUGAUACUGGGUGUCUUGAGUGUGAGAGAGGUAUGUGGAACUCCGAGUGUAGAGGUGAAAUUCGUAGAUAUUCGGAAGAACACCAGUGGCGAAGGCGACAUACUGGCUCAUUACUGACGCUGAGGCUCGAAAGCGUGGGGAGCAAACAGG